rnacentral:tRNA from 1 species
AUUUGAGUAUCUUAAGUUUAAAGUUUAAUAUUGAAGCUAUUAAUAUAGGCUGUGGCCUCUCAAAUA